AGGCGGGGCACCAGGCUGGGGACGCCGGGACCGCGGGAGACCCAGACAAAGACGAUCCCUGAAAAGGACACCCCGGAGAGACCAGCAGAGCGCGCCCUGCACGGAACAGAAGCGAAGAAAGGGGCUGGUGGGGGAAUCUGAAAGAACGGGGUGCCGGGGCCGCUGCCGGGGUCUCUCCCCUCCCCUCCUCCUGCUGCUGGAUGGGCACGCCUGGGCCGACGCCGACGUGCCGGAAUUCGGCUUUUGCGCCCCUGCACUGCUGCUGCCAGUGCUGCGGCCCCCUGUCCCUCCAGCAGCCACUCGCUUUCAAAGUUCCUUGGCCUUGACCCGACCUAUCCCAGAAGUUUCAGGACUGCCCAAGGACAUGGAGGAGUAGACUGGGGUGACAGAGGCCUUCCUUGGCUGCUGAUGCUCAGGUCUGCCCUGUGUCCUUGUCAAGGGCCAUCAAGUUGCUACUUGCUUAUCCCCAGUGACUGAGCACUCACCCCUUCUCUGUGCAUUUCCACCCUGUCGUUGGACAGCUCCUACAGUCAUUUUGGCAUAAGGCAACAAAUGAUAACAGUGAACACUACUGGCACCAGUCCACACUGUGGACCCAUUCAUGCAUCCAGUCACCAGUCAUUCAGCAGGUAGAGGAUAAACAUCCAUGUGCCAUCCCCUCUGCAAGACGCUGGAAAUGAAAAGGUGAGAAAGCCCAAGCUGCCCUACCCUCUGUGACCCUGGACAAGUGGCACUGCCUAUUUGAGCCUCACUUUCCUCCUCUGUCAACUAGGAUUAAGGAGGCAUGGUUGGAAAAUUAAAUGAGAUAACACAGUGCCUCCUCUUAUCUCAUUUAACACGUGUUAUCUGGGCAUGGUGCCUGGCAUAUGGCUGGUCAUCUCUCAAUAAACAGAACUGUCAUUCUAUUAUUCCUCACGGUCCCUGCCCUCAAGAACGUAGAGAAACUUGAGGAAGGAGCAGAACAUUCUGUUUUGAGGACAGUCACAGAGGGUAGUACCAGAG